rnacentral:misc_RNA from 1 species
UUUCCGUAGGCGAACCUGCGGAUGGAUCAUUCAUAAUAAAGUGUUUUAUGGCACUUUUUAAAAAUCCAUAUCCACCUUGUGUGCAAUGUUAGAUCUCGUCAAUCUUGGCGAGAUUUUUAUACAUCAACUCAUUUUUUAACUAAUUUGUCUGAAAAAUAUUAUGAAUACUUAAUUCAAAAUACAACUUUCAACAACGGAUCUCUUGGCUCUC